rnacentral:rRNA from 1 species
AUUGAACGCUGGCGGCAGGCCUAACACAUGCAAGUCGAGCGGAGCGGCGGACGCGUGCGUAAUGCCUAGGAAUCUGCCUGGUAGUGUGGGAUAACGUCCCGAAACGGGCGCUAAUACCGCAUACUAUACGAUGAGCCUAGGUCGGAUUCGGUAGUUGGUGGGGUAAUGGCCUACCAGGGCGACGAUCCGUAACUGGCCUGAGAGGAUGAUCAGUCAAACUGGAAUGGGGCCACGGUCAGGACGCCUACGGGAGGCGGAAGUGGGGAAUAUUGGACAAUGGGCGAAAGCCUGAUCAAGCCAUGCCGCGUGUGUGAAGAAGGUCUUCGGAUUGUAAAGCACGUUAAGUUGGGAGGCGGUACCAACAGAAUAAGCACCGGCUAACUUCGUGCCAGCAGCCGCGGUAAUUC